GACGAACGCUGGCGGCGUGCCUAAUACAUGCAAGUAGAACGCAGUUGCGAACGGGUGAGUAACGCGUAGGUAACUGCCUCAUAGCGGGGGCUAACUAUUGGAAACGAGAGCUAAUACCGCAUACUGUGAGAUGGACCUGCGUUGUAUUAGCUAGUGGGUGAGGUAAAGGCUCACCAAGGCGACUAGACAUAGCCGACCUGAGAGGGUGAACGGCCCCAUGGGGACUGAGACACGGCCCAGACUCCGACGGGAGGCCGCAGUAGGGAAUAUUCGGAAAUGGAAGGAAGUCUGACCGAGCAACGCCGCGUGAGUGAAGAAGGUUUUUGGAUCGUAAAGCUCUGUUGUUAGAGAAGCGGUAACCACCCAGAAAGGGACGGCUAACUACGUGCCAGCAGCCGCGGUAAUUC
rnacentral:rRNA from 1 species